AAAAUCUUGCCAAAGACGUUAUAACUGAUGAUUUCUAUUACAUAUUUGGGUCACAAUUUGGAAGCAUCGAAGCAGCUAAAUCGAGUCUUGGUGUGAGGCUGAUGCAGGAAGGAAGGAUGAGAGGGCAAGCUUUUUUGACAUUUCCAUCAGUUGAAGUCGCACAUCGUGCGCUGAAUCUUGUAAAUGGUUUUGUGUUCAAAGGAAAACCGAUGAUUAUUCAGUUUGGGCAGGAAUCCUGGAUCAGCCAAGCCAAACGAAUGAUGGAUCUUCAUGUAACUCAUUGAUUUGUAGUGGUACUUGAUUUGGAGUUGAGCUUGUUGUAGUCUUUAUGAUGAUCCUGAAAUGGCUGAGAGGGUUAAUAAGAAGCUGAUGGAGUUAGAGAGAAGCCAUGGAGGUGGUGACUAUGUGCUUAUGCCUAACAUCUGUUGUGGUACUGGAAGAUGUUCAAAUUGUUUAAG